rnacentral:rRNA from 1 species
GACGGCCAUGCCAUGCUGAAUAUACCGGUUUUCGUUAGAUCACCGAAGUCAAGCAUCAUUGGGCGCGGUCAGUACUUGGGUGGGUGACCACCUGAGAACACCGCGUGCCGUU